AGCGGUACGCUGCGCUCCUCCGGUUGGGAACAGCGCGCAGAGAAGAGCCGCUGCGUGUACCCGGGACCAGGGCCUGCACGCCGCGGCGGACCGGUGACAAGUCAGGUGGAGAAGCUCAAGUCUUGAACUCUGCUUGGUUUCCCAGGUACAGGCUAGACCCCACCCACGAUGAUCACUGAAUCACCAGGUGCUGAGGCCUCUUUCUGUUGUCAAGAGCCAGAGACAACUGAAAGAGCCAGAGACAAUUGAAAGCUCCUGUGGAUACUAAGCAGUUGUUCUGCCAUGGGCCUGCAUCUCCAGCAGUUGUUCUGCCAUGGGCCUGCAUCUCCAGCAAGUGCUGACGUCAUUAAAAUAUUCACCACAAUCGCACUGCUUCGUGUAACCUAACAGUGAGCUUUGAACUUCUCUGAAACUUGGAAAGUAAAAGGUACUUUGCACCAAUUUCUAAGCUACCUUCUGUAUAGUUCCUGUUUCUGGGGAUAAAAAUGUUUAUAAAUGAGAAAA
rnacentral:lncRNA from 1 species